rnacentral:rRNA from 1 species
CACGGAGGAUGCAAGCGUUAUCCGGAUUCAUUGGGUUUAAAGGGUGCGUAGGCGGACUAUUAAGUCAGUGGUGAAAGCCUGCAGCUUAACUGCAGAACUGCCAUUGAUACUGAUAGUCUUGAGUUUGGUUAAGGUAGGCGGAAUGUGUAAUGUAGCGGUGAAAUGCUUAGAUAUUACACAGAACACCAAUUGCGUAGGCAGCUUACUGAGCCGACACUGACGCUGAGGCACGAAAGCGUGGGGAGUCGAACA